rnacentral:tRNA from 1 species
GCAAUGCUGGUUCAGUGGUAGAAUUCCCACCUUCCAUGUGGGAGACCCUGGUUCGAUACCCGGCCAACGCA